ACACUUGAUGCUGGGGACCAUGAGAUGGCAGGUGCAUGAGGCCGCUUGCUCACAUGCUGGAAGCUCUGCAUUCUGCCGUUUGUUCACAGAAUCAUUCCCAAUAAAAAGAGAAGUUCAAAAGAAAGGGAUAGACGUUGUCCUCCUGGAGAUGAUAACUCCUCCUACAACCUUAGAGGAUGCUGAAAGAGGAAGUGAGCAAGCUGAAGCCCAUGGGGGCAUCUUCAGACGGAUCUUCUUCAAUAGUCAAAUGGGGUUUGGCCACUAGAUCCUCCCCAGUGUCCGCAGAGGACAACUCCAUGGUUUUAUCUAAACUUCUUCAUGCAUGGUUCCAUUGGAGAAUUCAGAAGCUAGGACAAAAUAACUUAUUUCUGAUGAUAUUUGAGAACACAUUAAAGAUUUUUAAACCACAUU